GGCCCUACGGGGUGCAGCAGUCACGAAAACUUCACAAUGGAGGCAACUCCGAUGAGGGAACUCCUAGUGCUAGUGCUAUUUUUGUGCUAGCUUUUCUAAAGCGUAGAUAACUUUAGGAAGAAGGGCUGGGUAAGACGGGUGCCAGCCGCCGCGGUAA
rnacentral:rRNA from 1 species